ensembl:lncRNA
AGCAUCUAAGACGCUCACGGUAGGCGAUUGUCACACUUUAUUCUACCUGCCAUUAUGUCCCUUUAUUUAUUGGCUGACGGUCCCUCUCCCCUCAGGGAACAUCACCCCCGCCAGUGCAGGGACUGUUCUGUUCACUGCUGCAUCCCCUGUGCUGGGGAAGAGCGAAGCACACAGUAGGGGCUCAAUAUUUGCUGAACGAAUGAGUAUUAAUUUUUUUCACCAUGAAUAAGAAGCCCUGGUCACCAGAUGGAGACUGUGCCUGUCAAAGUGUGCUCUCCCCAGGCUUCCCCAUGAGACUGUGAUGGCACAGAAAGCUGGUAUUUGUUUCACUCUGACACCCAAACAGGUGGCUCAGGAGUUGGGAUGGUUAAAGGAUUCUGUCAUCUGAGGGCAGAUUCGAGAAAGAUGAGGUUCUGCUUGGUGGGCAACUUUGAAACAGGCAACUGAAGAAAUCUGGGUUCUGCCACCUGGGAGUGUGGGCACAUGAUGUGGGAUCAGGAUGUAGGAACUGAGUUCAAAAAACGGAAAAGCAUGUGGAAAAUUGAACAUCGAGUAAUCGGUCUCUAGCAGCGUGUCCAGAAGGAGGCAGGGUGGUCUUUCUGACUGUUUUCAACGCCCCCCAGAGAAUGGUCAGUGCAGGCUCCGUGAAGAAUGCCCCUCUGGGGCGUGGGCAAGAGGGGGUCUCACCAUGCUGCCUUGGAAACUGGCGCCACACCCUCUCCAGGUGCUCAAGAUGGCGCCACCCAGUUGGGUCUUUCCUGAGCAGCUCAAAUGCUACUAUUGCCUCAUGGAAGCUCCAGGAGACCCCACCCUCCGCAGAUCACACAGCCCCGCCCCCGUGCUCCCACAGCCCCCGGGGAUGAAGGCCCAGCAACGAGGUGCCCAGACGUGGUGUUGAGGGCUGCCCCUACGGCCGGCAUGGCCUUUCCUGGAAGAUCUGAGGGACAGCCCCUCUGUGCAGUGUUUUGAAAAGGGAAUUUAAGACCCAGAAAAAUGGUGAUUUCUUCAUGGCCCGAUAAAAGGAACAAGAUUUGGUUCCCAUCCCAGCUCUGCCACCUCCUAGCCAUGUGACUUUGAGCAAGUCCACACAAGAGGCGGGGUCAGCUCGGGGAAGCAGGAGCCUUUGCCCCCAACAGUCUGACCUCCAUCCACCCCUCCAUGUGUCUCACACCUGGUCCUGGGCCCGCAGGCAGCGGCCUGUUUAUCAACAGGAAAGGAGGAUGGCGAGCACGUCAUGGAGCCUCGGGACCACAAGGGCCAAGGGCAUUCUGAUGUUUUCCGCCUCGUGGAAGCUGUCCAGAGCUGGUCUCCAGCACUCCAGGACUGUAGCCACCAGGCCUGCUGGGAAGGGAAUGGACAGCUUUUCACUUUUUCUUAGCGGGGCCCUGGCUUCGGGGCCAGGAGGGGCUCCCAACUGCCUGCGGAACGGAGGCCCAGUUCCAAUCUGGCCUCUUGACCGUAAGCUCUCUCCUCGGGAAGCCCUGGCAUCCUGGGCCAUGCCUGAGGCCUUCCAGGGUGCCCCGAGUGUGGACUAGUCUUCCUCUGACCUCUCCAAACCAACUGCUCCCCUUGCUGUCAAAAUGGGGCAAACCCCCCACCCUCCCAGCAGCCUUCCUGCCCCCAUCUCCUACCACAGGCUGGAAGGUCCCCGCUCUCUGGGCUCCCACACUUUUGACUCUGAACCAGGGCUACUCACGUCUGACUUGUGCGAUUUUCCUUGGGGCGGGCCCUGGGUUUGACUCCAACUGUGGGAUUACAGCGUCUGCUCAGCAUCAUAGUGCAAUAAAUAUUUGCUCAAGGGCGGCAACGAAUGCAUUCAAGGCUCAUUAAUUAAGUUAAACAAAGAAUGUUUUAGAUGGUAAGUCACAGGUAUUGGCCAAGCUUUUCUGGACAUGUCAUCAUGAGGAAUUGAACCCGUGACACAGGGAGGGAGGCAGGACGUGAGUCCCAGGGCGUGGGG